UCUUUUCUCUUUCUUUUUGUUUUUUUUUCUUCUUUUCUUAUUCUUUCUUUCCCCCAGUUGUCGACACAAGCUCUCUUUCUCACCACUGGUCAACCCUACCAACUCCUCCUUCAUCCAAUCUUCUUUCUCACCCAAAAAGGAAAAAAGCCAAACUCCUUAAAAAAAGUCUUAACCAAACCCUUCUUUUUUUUUUCUACUUAUGGUGUUUUGAUUUUGUUUCUCUUUUUUUCUUUUUUAUUGUCUUUUUAAGGGUUCUUUAAUAGAGGACUGUGGUUGUUUACAAUUUUUUGGCUUUGCUAGUUUGGUUUUUGGUUGUCAUUUGUCUGUUUUUUAUUUUGGCUUUGAUAGGUUCCUCACGAGGACUUUUGUUUUUUUUUGUUGGCUUUUUGGGUGGCUGAUAGGCUUUGUCAAUGUGGCUUCGAUGGUGGAAAGGGUCGACCUUCGAAAAAGACGAGGUUGAUUUUAGGCUAUGAUGGGGGCAUUCUGGUAUUACAACAGAUGGUGGCUUUGAUGAAUUUAGAAUAAGAGAUCUCAAUUAGGCUUAGAGAUUGGCAGAGGUUGGUUUUGGGUGGAUAAAGGUACGCAUUAUGGUAAAGGUUGUUUGGCUAUGAAAGAAGUUAUGAAAAGGCUUUGAAACUUUUUAGGAAAAAUUUUACUAUGAAGGUGGUUUCGAUUGAGGCCCUAGCUGGAAAGAAAGGGUGAAUGGGUGGUGACUAUGGUGGUCUUGUUGAUUCCAUGGAUAGCAUUUGUUGGUUGUGGUUUGCUAAGGCUGGGUGGUAGGGAGUCAGGUAAAAUCAGCCAGGGGAUAAGGCUUUGGUGUUGUCUCUUUUUGGUGAUCAAUUGGAAACCUUAGGAGAGAGUGGCUGCCAAAGAUUUUUUUUAUAGUAGGUGCCUCCCAUUUCUUUAUGGAAUUGGCCUUCUCUUAUCAAGCUCUCCUACUGUAAAAAAAAUUUACCUUUAGGGAAUUUAGUCUGUCAUAAGAAGAUAUCUAGAAAUGGGUGUUUCGGAGUGUUAUUGGCUUGGAAAAAUAAGCGUGCUCAAUUAAUGUUAAGGGUUUGGGGGAAUUGGUAAGGGCAAAACAAGCUAUUAGAAGUGGGCAUACAACUGAAGAAAUGACCUGACAUAUUGGUAGAGAUGGUUACCAUGGCAGCCAACCCUCUCCCUUAUUUUUAAUUCAUUUUUUUCUUUUUUUAAACUAAUUAAUUUA
rnacentral:lncRNA from 1 species